CAACCGUUGGUUACUACUUUUGUACAAUGUUAACGGUGCUUACUGUAUAUGCCUUUCUUUAUGGAAAAACGUAUUUGGCACUAUCUGGUGUUGGUGAAACCAUUGAAGAAAGGGCUAGGAUAACUAAGAACACUGCCCUGAGUGCAGCUUUGAAUACGCAGUUUCUCUUUCAAAUUGGUGUCUUCACUGCUGUGCCAAUGGUCUUGGGCUUCAUUCUUGAACAAGGUUUCUUGAGGGUAAGUGU